GCCCUGGUAGCUCAGUGGAUAGAGCACGCGCCUCCUAAGCGCGGGGUCAGAGGUUCGAGUCCUCUCCAGGGCGCCA
rnacentral:tRNA from 1 species